AAAGUACUCCCUCCGUCCCAAAAUUCUUGUCUUAGAUUUGUCUAGAUACAGAUGUAUCAAGUCACAUUUUAGUAUUAGAUACAUCCGUAUGUAGACAAAUCUAAGACAAGAAAUUUUGGACAGAGGGAGUAGUUG
rnacentral:pre_miRNA from 1 species